GAUGAACGCUGGCGGCGUGCCUAAUACAUGCAAGUCGAGCGAACAGACGAGGAGCUUGCUCCUCUGACGUUAGCGGCGGACGGGUGAGUAACACGUGGAUAACCUACCUAUAAGACUGGGAUAACUUCGGGACACCGGAGCUAAUCCCGGAUAAUAUAUUGAACCGCAUGGUUCAAUAGUGAAAGACGGUUUUGCUGUCACUUAUAGAUGGAUCCGCGCCGCAUUAGCUAGUUGGUAAGGUAACGGCUUACCAAGGCAACGAUGCGUAGCCGACCUGAGAGGGUGAUCGGCCACACUGGAACUGAGACACGGUCAAGACUACUACGGGAGGCAGCAGUAGGGAAUCUUCCGCAAUGGGCGAAAGCUUGACGGAGCAACGCCGCGUGAGUGAUGGAGAUCUUGGGAGCGUAAAACUCUGUUAUUAGGGAAGAACAAAUGUGUAAGUAACUAUGCACGUCUUGACGGUACCUAAUCAGAAAGCCACGGCUAACUACGUG
rnacentral:rRNA from 1 species